rnacentral:snRNA from 1 species
GUGCUCACUUUGGCGGCACAUACAUGAAAAUUAAAAUGAUAUAGAGAAGAAUAUCAUGGCUCCUGCGCAAGGAUGAAGCACAAAUUUGUGACGCAUUCCAUAUUUUU